UACGGGAGGCAGCAGUGGGGAAUAUUGCACAAUGGGCGAAAGCCUGAUGCAGCUAUGCCGCGUGUAUGAAGAAGGCCUUAGGGUUGUAAAGUACUUUCAUCGGGGAGGAAAAAAACAAAACUAAUAAUUUUAUUUCUUGACGUUACCCGAAAAAGAAGCACCGGCUAACUCCGUGCCAGCAGCCGCGGUAAUACGGAGGGUGCUAGCGUUAAUCAGAAUUACUGGGCGUAAAGAGCACGUAGGUGGUUUUUUUAAAGUCAGAUGUGAAAUCCCUGGGCUUAACCUAGGAACUGCAUUUUGAAACUGAAAUACUAGAGUAUCGUAGAGGGAGGUAGAAUUCUAGGUGUAGCGGUGAAAUGCGUAGAUAUCUGGAGGAAUACCUGUGGCGAAAGCGGCCUCCUAAACGAAUACUGACACUGAGGUGCGAAAAGCGUGGGGAGCGAAACAGGGAUUAGGAUACC
rnacentral:rRNA from 1 species